GCCCACUUGGUGGAAUGGUAGACACAGCAGACUUAAAAUCUGCAGGCCCUAGGCCGUGCUGGUUCGAGUCCGGUAGUGGGUA
rnacentral:tRNA from 1 species